rnacentral:rRNA from 1 species
UACGUAGGGGGCGAGCGUUGUCCGGAUUUAUUGGGCGUAAAGAGCUCGUAGGCGGCUUGGCAAGUCGGGUGUGAAACCUCCAGGCUCAACCUGGAGACGCCACUCGAUACUGCUAUGGCUAGAGUCCGGUAGGGGACCACGGAAUUCCUGGUGUAGCGGUGGAAUGCGCAGAUAUCAGGAGGAACACCGGUGGCGAAGGCGGGUCUCUGGGCAGUAACUGACGCUGAGGAGCGAAAGCGUGGGGAGCGAACAGG